UUUGACUUAGGCGUGGGUACUUCAGAGCAGCUGAGCGUCGCUCCCGCUGGGUGCGCUACAGAGGGCAUCGUGUAUUCUUGCGGGAUGCUAGUCUGUUGGGCCUGCUGGGGAGAGGGAAAGCAAAAUUAUGGAUUGAUAGAGUGCUGGUGAUUGGAUAGGCCUGGAUCAUGCUGGAUCGAGCUAGAGCUGGAUUUGAACAAGGGGUGCCGUACCUGCACUGGCUUAGAAAACGUCGGGUUCGACUGACCGCGGUGGUAUUGUGUGAGUCCGCAUCUGGGCGCUCGUACCGGCUGAUCAAGAAAUACAUCGAGCUUGCUGACGACCGGCGCCGGACUGCUGGCGGUUGACCUCGCCGAGGCGGCGAAACGGUAGAGCAGGACGUCGCCGACCUGGAGCUGGAGGCGCGCCCAGUGUUUGGAGAGCGCGGUGUCGAGGCAACGGGGGAUCAGGCAGAGCCGCGGAACGCAUCGUCGGGGAGCGCGCUGGGGACGGUCCACGCCGCACGCGGCGCUGAGGCGGAUGUGCGCCUGCCGCCUACCGUGGCGUACGCGGACAGCGCCGCUGUCGCGUCAUCGAUCUCGACGGCUCGACCCGCGUUCCGCGAAUAACCCCUGACGACAACCACGCCUGGGAGCUGGGGCGACGCCAGGAACGGCUGUGUGAUGGUCACAACAGCUCAUGCCGUCCUCCGCGAGAAGCUCUUCUGCAUCGAGUGGAAGAACCGGAGAUCUCUACUCGUAGCAAUCUUCAACUCGGCUGACAACUCCUGGCAGAAGAUCCCUGUGCCGCUUACUGGUAGCUCGAGGCUGGGACUGGAUGGAUCAAGCAUAUCGAUCUGAGCACGGCGGCCUCGACGUGCAGGAGCAGGACUGCCUCGCGUGGGGGAAAAAAUCACGUACUACAAGCGAUCAGUAAUUUCUCGAAGGAACCGUAAUACCGUAACCAUAGCAGGCAUGUAAAAGUGAGGGAGCCUAAUCCAGUGGCAACCUAUGCCCUUGGCAUUUCCGACGUGUUCUGUACUCAAUGGAUUUGGAUCACGAGUUGGUCAUGGGUUGGCGCUCUCCACGGAUGGCGUGAGGUCCGUUUUCUUUAGUAUCUCCUUUCAUUUCUCCCCCUUCUUACAUCACCGUUGUAACUUUAAUUCUGGUCCUAGGUGACACAGCCACA